CCUCCCUCUACCUCUACCUCCACCCCUCGCCAGUCGCCUCCCUCCCCUCUACCUCCGCCGGCCUCCCGCUCCCCCCAUUUCCCUCCACCCCGCCGGAUCUGGGGCCGCACGGGCGGUCUGCCGGCGGAUCCGGGGGCGGCCGGCCUAGGUUAGCGAGCCGCCGUCGGAUCUCGGGUCAGCUGGUCUCGGGCGCCGCCGCCUAGCCCUUGGCCGAGAGGGGGAUGGGGAGCAGGCCGCCAUGCCCUUGGCCGAGAGGGGGAAGGGGAGCAGGCCACCAGGCCCUUGGCCGAGAGGGUGAAGGGGCUCUACACGCGAGGGAGGACGAUGGCACGGCUAGCGGCGCAGGAGGCGACGACGCGGCAGCGGCGCGAGGAGACGGCACGGUGGCAUGACGAAGCACCGACGACGAGGCUCUCCACCAUCUCCGCCGCCUUCUCACCAGUAAGGGUCGUUCUCUCUUUCUUCCCCUCUCUUCUCCUAGGGUAUCUCGUUCUUGGCGAUGGUGACGUAGUUGCGGCACUGGUGGACGAGGUCGAGGCCGUCGCAGAUGGCGUUGCAGAGGACAGAGGUCGAGCAUAGAGGUUGUGCUUACUGGGCAAAGAUUUUCUUCCAAUGCCUCCAUCGCUAGAUCUGGUUGCUUGAUGUGCGUUUGUGCUGUUCUUUGCUGGCCAUGGUAGAUUCAGUGUCCUAAAAGGCUAGAAAAAUGAAGCAGGAGUCCAGCAAAAUGGUAUACUUCAUGAGGCAGACGAUUGGAAACGCCCGCGGAACAGUUGGUAUUAUUCAUGCACCGGGGAAUGCUGCUUCCAAAAUCAAGCUAGGUGAGGGGUCGUAUUUUGAUAGAUUUUAUAUACAAACUGCUGAUAUGGAUCCAGUCCAGUGUGCUGCAUUUCUUGUGGAGGACCAAGAAAUGGAUAAGGCCUAUGCAUGAGAUAAUUUUUGCCAUGGUUGAUAAGCCAAAGUUCCUUAGUCAGAGUACCGAGCAGCUACAAGGAAAGUUACUUCAGAAAUUUCACAAAGUUGAGUUUUGCUGUCAUGACAAAGGCAUACCCAAGUAUUGAAAGGAAUGAUCUGAUUUUGGUCCAGGAGAUUGCAAGCUAUAUGACAUUUUGGAUGUAACUGUGUAUGGAUGUAAUGUAAUGGAUGUGUAUGGAUGUAAUAAAGGAAUAUAAGAAAUUUUAUUUUUUUGUUUUUUAA